CACGUAGGGCGCAAGCGUUGUCCGGAAUUAUUGGGCGUAAAGAGCUCGUAGGCGGACUGUCACGUCCGCUGUGAAAAGCUAGGGCUUAACCCUGGCCUUGCAGUGGAUACGGGCAGACUAGAGGUAGGUAGGGGAGAAUGGAAUUCCCGGUGUAGCGGUGAAUGCGCAGAUAUCGGGAGGAACACCGGGUGGCGAAGGCGGUUCUCUGGGCCUUACCUGACGCUGAGGAGCGAAAGCGUGGGGAGCGAACAGG
rnacentral:rRNA from 1 species